CCCGCUGAACUUAAGCAUAUCAAUAAGCGGAGGAAAAGAAACUAACAAGGAUUCCCCUAGUAACGGCGAGUGAAGCGGGAUGAGCUCAAAUUUAAAAUCUGAUAGUCUUUGACUGCCCGAGUUGUAAUCUAGAGAAGUGUUUUCUGUGCUGGACUGUGUACAAGUUUCCUGGAUACGGAACAUCAUAGAGGGUGAGAAUCCCGUCCUUGACGCAGGCUCCCAGUGCUUUGUGAUACGCUCUCAACGAGUCGAGUUGUUUGGGAUUGCAGCUCAAAAUGGGAGGUAAAUUCCUUCUAAAGCUAAAUACUGGCGAGAGACCGAUAGCAAACAAGUACCGUGAGGGAAAGAUGAAAAGCACUUUGAAAAGAGAGUGAAACAGUACGUGAAAUUGUUGAAAGGGAAACGCUUGAAGUCAGUCACACCGUUCAGGAUUCAGCCUUGCUUCUGCUUGGUUUACUUCCUGUUGGGUGGGUCAACAUCAGUUUCCAUCAGAGGAAAAAGGCUUCGGGAAGGUGGCAGCAUUCGUGCUGUGUUAUAGCCCUUUGCUGUAUACUUUGAUAGAGACUGAGGACUGCAGCACGCCUUCUGGCUGGGGUUCGCCCACAUACGUGCUUAGGAUGUUGGCAUAAUGGCUCUAAGCGACCCGUCUUGAAACACGG
rnacentral:rRNA from 1 species